UACUAUUUUUAAUCUGCACAACAGAUAGCGCUAGUAGAUUGACCUAGUUCUUUUGUAAAUUCAUAGGUAGCGUUAGUGUUCAUAAUCAAAUGUCAAUUGAAUGUUUAUAAGAAACUAAAUUUAUGCAAUAAAUACUAAUAAUGCAAUAAAUAUAGUGUAAUAUUAAUUUAUUUUGAUUUCAAAAACAGUUGAUUUGUAAAAAUUGUUUUUUUUUUUGCAGUAAUAUUCGUUUACAGAUUGAUUUGAGCAUUAUAGUCGCUCUUUUUUUUUUUCGGUUUGUAGUAGAUUUUGGUCGAGUGAAAGAUGGAUUUUACAAUGGAGUUUGAUUUAUCAUUUUGAAUUAUUUUCCUAUAUGAUUGUGAAUUAAGAAGCCGAUGAAGAUGCCUGUGAAUACACAUCAAUGUUUUGUGUCUUCGUGCAGGAACAGUAUUACUGUUAAUCCUGAUGUGACAACAUUCAGAUUUCCAUGAAGCCGAAGCAAGUUAUUGAAGUGGAUUGCUGCAAUUGGCUAUGACCUUGAUGCCAGUAAUGCUGAAACAUUUAAAACUAAAUAUGUAUGUUCCGAACAUUUUGAUAUUGGAGCUUUCACUACAUGUGACUGCAUCAAAUUGAAUCGUGGUGCUGCUACAACAUAUUUUAAUUCUGUGGACAGUGAAGUAUGGAUCUAUUGUUAUAAUUUAUUAUGUCUAGAAUGCUGCCAAAUAUAGGUGAAAUGUUUAUGUUACAUAACAUAACUUGUAAGAUCUACUUGUGCAGAUAUAUAUUUUCACCUGCCUCUAAGGUCCUUUGUUAUUCACAGGUAGCAUUUACAUGUGAUGAAGCAGUAUUUAACAUUAUUGGUCAACAUGCAGUCCAUCAUUACAACCUUUGUACAGGCGCAUACAAACAUAUAUGUGUGGGGUAUUUCACACUUUUUAUUUGAUGUUAAAGAUUGGUAUGGUGACCGGGAUACUUUUUUUUAUUAAACCUCCUACACAGUUCUCUACUGUUUCCCUUAUCUGUUGCCUUAACAUUUUUUUCCGAUCAGUCCAAUUCCUUGAAUCACAUUGCAAAAAAAGUCACAAUACAUGGGAUUGGGCCACUCUCUUCAAAGAAUUGUAAUUCGAGUUUAAACAUAGCAAGGCUGACCAUAAAUUGUAGAGGAAAAUUUAAAAUGUUGAUCUUCAACAUAUUUAUAACCUAUGCUCAUGUGAUGUAUAUACAGCUAGUUAGAAAGUAAGUUGUAGUAUAGUAUGCAAUUGAACCUUCAAUAAGUUCUACAUCCACACUUAAAAACUUAUUUUACUUGAUGUUUUAUGUUCAAUAACUAUUCAGUAUAAAGGUUUUUUUUUACAUUAUAAACUACAAAAGUAUUCCGAUUUGUAAAUGUAAUGAAAUUCCACUGAGCCCUCUACCUUUUUUUUAACUACCAUUUCUGCCGUGUGGCCUUUUUUUUCUUACUUUUGUGUUCAUUAUAAGUUACAACCACUCAUUUGAUUUAUUGUGUUAAAUUAAAUGAUAUUUAAAAUUGGAUGUCACUUCAUAAGAACAUUCAGGAUUACCUGUAUUCACAGCGCACAAUUAUACAAAAGUUUUUUAUGUAUGUAAAAGUGUUUUACGUAAGCCAGUGGACACAUACAUGUAUUGAGUAACAUGAGAAAAUUGAAAUAUCUAAAAUAAAAUUAAAAGGUUACAAGCUUUUAUAUACAUGCAGCUCCCAAAAAAGUCUGCAUACUAAAAAAUAACACAUGCUUUUAAAUGAAUUCUUACCAUCUUAUAAACUAGUAGUAUUUUGUUAUUUGAUUUCAAAUGAAUUGUUUUUGGUUAAUUUAUUUGACUGAAGGGAUUAAAUAUCAUUUGUAGAAUAAAGUGUGAAAAGUAGUAUUGAUCAAUUUAACUGUAAGUACUAAAUAUGUGUUACAUUUCUUGUAAGUUAAAAUUGUUCAGGUAUUAUAAAUUAGCUGAAAAAAGCAAACUCAUGACUAGAAUAAAUUGUACUGUUAGGUAUGUUUCGAAGAAAGACUACCUGUUGCAGUCGUUACCAUGUGUAUGUACCACAUUUUUAUUGUCAUUAUAACUGCCAUAAUUUUGUACAAAUAAAUCACUUAAUACAUAAAAUAUGGUUAUGGAAAUUCUCAGUUGAGUUUGUUAAUGGAUAUAGGCCAACAAAAGGGGUAUAAAUGGGGAAGAUUUUUUGAAAAACAUUUAAAUCACUUCAACUCCCAUAACAUGAAACAUAUCACAUCUGUUUGAACAUAUUAUAACUUAAAGGAGUAUUACCAAAAAUUUUGUCUACAUACUUGAAUAUGACCAGCCAUAACUGUUAAGGGGUGGGAAAAAACAAGGGUUUGAGGACAAAAAACUCCUAACUAUCUUAGUAGGCACACCAUAGAAUCUGUUCAAAUUUGUUGUCAAUUUUAAAAAAUUUUAUAACCACCUGAUAACCACCAAGGGUGCUGUGGGUAAAAUAAUGAGGGGUUAAUGGACAAACAAAUAUUCUUAAUUACUCUAUUAAGUUAACUAUAAAAUCUAUAACAAUUAUUGCAAUUCUUCUAAAACUUGUAUAAAACUUUGAUCUGAAACAAUUUUUUUAGGAUUAACCAGUGCUGCAAGAAGUUGAAAAUACCAGUGGGUGGAAAUUUAAAAAAAUAAUAAUAAAACUUCUGUACAGUGUACACUAUCGCAUCCAUUCUUAUUUAUUUAAAACUUUCUAAAUAUCUUUUGAAACUUUAAUGUAACCAAACAUUACUGCAAUGAGUGAAAAUAAUAUAUUCAGAGACAAAAAAUGAUAACUUUAAUUAUUGCACUUGCUCUCUGUAUGCUGACUGCAUUGCUAAAAUGCACAUAGACCUCCAA